UUGAGCUUUGAACGGGUACGGAUAGGUUCUCUACGUUGCUGUGCGAGUGAAGCCUGCUAGAAGAGCCACCCGUCCAAGAAGACCGUGGACAAUGAGGAUAUGCUAGCAUACACGGUGAAGCAUUGUCCAAAUGAAAAAAAGCAGAGCCACUACAAAAUAUCACGAUGGCAUGCAGAAGCCCCAAAAGGCCUUUGCCUAUUUACCACUCAUCCCCUGAUUGCAACGAUGAUCCAGGAUGCCAGUAAUUGCCAGAAGUCUUCAGCAGCAUGAGUUGGUAGAGGAACAAAAUCCUGUGAAUGAUAUUCACAUGUAACCUGCUCGGAAACUCAUGUAUGAUAACGGUAAUGCCAAUUCUGUGAAAGUUUUUGGUUUGUUCUAAAAUUGUUACAUCUUAGAGUUUUUAACUAGUCUCAACACUGUUAACUUUGUAAAACCACCUUUAAACCAGCUAAUCUCGAUGCUG